AGCAGCCGCGGUAAUUCCAGCUCCAGUAGCGUAUAUUAAAGUUGUUGCAGUUAAAAAGCUGUAGUUGAAUUUCGGGGUCAGUAGGUCGGUCUUGCCAAUGAUAUGAACUGGUUUUACUGAUUCCUCCCUCUUGAAGAACAGUAAUGCCAUUAAUUUGGUGUUGCAGGGAAUCAGGAGUGUUACUUUGAAAAAAUAAGAGUGUUUAAAGCAGGCUUUAGCUUGAAUACAUCAGCAUGGAAUAAUGAAAUAGGACGUUUGAUCCUAUUUUGUUGGUUUCUAGGAUUGACGUAAUGAUUAAUAGGGAUAGUUGGGGGCAUUAGUAUUCAAUUGUCAGAGGUGAAAUUCUUGGAUUUAUUGAAGACUAACUACUGCGAAAGCAUUUGCCAAGGAUGUUUUCAUUAAUCAAGAACGAAAGUUAGGGGAUCGAAGACGAUCAGAUACCGUCGUAGUGUUAACCAUAAACUAUGCCGACUAGGGAUCGGAUGAUGUUAAUUUUUUAAUGACUCAUUAGGCGCCUUACG
rnacentral:rRNA from 1 species